rnacentral:misc_RNA from 1 species
UAGUGAACUCAGACUCGGAGA